CCCCAGCGAUGGCAGGCACCUCUUCGUGGUGCUGGGGAUUACUACUCAGUCCACCACACAUGGAUGGACGAGGAAGCUAAGAUCUGC
rnacentral:ribozyme from 1 species